GGUGCCUGUGAGGCUCCACUCCUUGGAGGCUUGAGGGGGGAGUGCUAAUGGCGGCUCACACAGCUCAGCUCCACAAAGCUUGGCUCCUGGCAGCUCACUCCUCAGAGGCCUGGAGGGGUCGGUCACCACAUUCUAUUUGUAGAGUGCGCAGAGGUCCUUUGACCUUCUCACAGAUGACUUGACUUGACCACCAAGAUCACUCGUGGAUAGGAGAUAAAAAGGAAAAGAAAAACCACCUGUAAUUCCACCCACCACCAAGAAUAAUCUCCACCAAACAUUGCUUAAAUGCAUUGAUGUGUUUAUAUGUUUAAAAUUUUCCUCUGA